rnacentral:rRNA from 1 species
UACGAAGGGGGCUAGCGUUGUUCGGAAUUACUGGGCUAAGCGCGCGCAGGCGGUUCUUCAAGUCAGUGGUGAAAGCCCGGAGCUCAACUCCGGAACUGCCAUUGAAACUGUAGAACUUGAGGAUGAGAGAGGUGAGUGGAAUUCCCAGUGUAGAGGUGAAAUUCGUAGAUAAUUGGGAAGAACACCGGUGGCGAAGGCGGCUCACUGGCUCAUUUCUGACGCUCAGGCGCGACAGCGUGGGGAUCAAACAGG